rnacentral:rRNA from 1 species
CCCUUAGAUGUUCUGGGCCGCACGCGCGCUACACUGAUUCAUGCAACAAGUUUUGUCCUUGGCUGAUAGGCCUGGGUAAUCUUUGAACGUGGAUCGUGAUGGGGAUAGAUGAUUGCAAUUAUUCAUCUUCAACGAGGAAUUCCUAGUAAACGCAAGUCAUCAGCUUGCAUUGAUUACGUCCCUGCCCUUUGUACACACCGCCCGUCGCACCUACCGAUUGAAUGGUCCGGUGAAAUCUUCGGAUCUGAGAGAUGUCUGAUUAAUUUCGGACGCCUUUUGGAAAAGUUGCUUAAACCUUACCAUUUAGAGGAAGGUGAAGUCGUAACA